rnacentral:rRNA from 1 species
CAGUAGCCGCGGUAAUACGAAGGGGGCUAGCGUUGUUCGGAUUUACUGGGCGUAAAGGGCGCGUAGGCGGACUGAUAAGUCAGGGGUGAAAUCCCAAGGCUCAACCUUGGAACUGCCUUUGAUACUGUUUGUCUUGAGUUCGAGAGAGGUAAGUGGAAUUGCGAGUGUAGAGGUGAAAUUCGUAGAUAUUCGCAAGAACACCAGUGGCGAAGGCGGCUUACUGGCUCGAAACUGACGCUGAGGCGCGAAAGCGUGGGGAGCAAACAGGAUUAGAUACCCCCGUAGUCCCUGUCUCUUAUAC